CAAAGUGAAGAGGAGAUGAACAUGGCUUUGCAUAGCUGUUCUAUGCCAACUUACCUGCUCUUGCUGGCACCGUAGUGGCAUAUUGCAAAUUUCGUGGACGAACAACUCUAGUCACUAGUGGCUAGUGAGCAACACUAACAGACCAGAAUGCUUCGCUAUCAACUCCUGGCUUUCCAUCGGCAUGGUGUUCAGCUGCAGCGGCAUCUGGUCCGGGGAGUUCAAGUUGCUGGAUGGCUGCACUGACACAGGAUGGGUUUGCGUUGGCAAUGCGAUACGGCAGUCAUCCCACAUCACGAGCUACAUGUUUAUGUAAUUUAUAUUGUCGCUCGUCCAGCAACGUCAAGGCUCUGCAUGUAAACACAGGAGAACACCAUAAUACUACUCAGGGGAUAAUAAUUUUGGAUAUCAAUUUCGUGACAAUUAUUAGAUUCACACAAUAUUCACAACGUAUGCAACACGAUGCUGUCUAUUGACACUACUUCAAACUGAAGUGCUCACUACUCCUCUCCCGUUUUCAUCUCCCUCUACCUUAUGAAUACUCUGCAUUACUGGUUUCGUUUCUACCCUUUCCAUUGCUGCCAGCUCCCAGUCUUUUUCAAUGCACAGCACCACCUUGACAGUCAUUUUUGUGAUUUGAUGUACACAUACUUUGAAGUUCAAAUUCGAAUUACAUGAUCAGAUUUUUGUUCCACAUUUUCUAUUUAUUUUUACUUCAAGCACAACCCUACCGAUGAAGGGAAAGAAGCAGCAGAGAGA